rnacentral:rRNA from 1 species
GACGAACGCUGGCGGCGUGCCUAAUACAUGCAAGUAGAACGCACAGUUUAUACUGUAGCUUGCUACACCAUAGACUGUGAGUUGCGAACGGGUGAGUAACGCGUAGGUAACCUGCCUGGUAGCGGGGGAUAACUAUUGGAAACGAUAGCUAAUACCGCAUAAUAUUGAUUAUUGCAUGAUAAUUGAUUGAAAGUUGCUAUUGCAUCACUACCAGAUGGACCUGCGUUGUAUUAGCUAGUAGGUGAGGUUACGGCUCACCUAGGCGACGAUACAUAGCCGACCUGAGAGGGUGGUCGGCCACACUGGGACUGAGACACGGCCCAGACUCCUACGGGUGGCAGCCGGAGGGAAACUUGGGCAAGGGACGGAAGUCUGACCGAGCAACGCCGCGUGAGUGAAGAAGGUUUUCGGGUCGGAAAGCUCUGUUGUAAGGGAAGAACGAGUGUUAGAGUGGAAAGUUCACACUGUGACGGUAUCUUACCAGAAAGGGACGGCUAACUACGUG